ACACGGUGGAGAUGAGGACGCGAAGAUGGACAUGAACGCUUCUGUUGACUCCGUCUCUUUUCUUUCGACAACCCUCGCAUUCGCGUCUCUCCGCUCACAGGGGGUUGGACCGCAUCGUGGAGCCUCGACACGGGACUGACUUCGUCGAGCUUCCGGUCGCCCGCAUGCUUGCGGUCAAACGCCACAGGAGACACCUGACUCUCUCCUCCGCGAAGCGAGGUCUCUGUCACGAACUUGACUCGUCCUUCUCUCUGAGCCUGGGCCUGGAGAUUCAGCGGCAAGACGUUCGUGUGAGGGACGAUCAGCUGUCUUCUGGGCACAGCCGGCGUGGCUCCAGACCCUCUGGAAGGCUCGGCGAGAAGGGUGGAGACACUGGAGACAGUGUGGGGCAGAGAGGAAGAGCUCUGGUGGGCGUCGGCGUCGAGAGCGCGGCAUCGUUCCUCUGCCCGCUCCAGCUGGCGACGGCGAUGCUCCUCUCUCAAGAAUACACUCGCGUUCAGGCGACACCCUAGAGCAGAGAACACGGCCUCGCCCCCCAACUGCGUCGUGCGUUGCUGGAAAGCGGAAGGCGAAGCAGGCGAGAACGAAGAAACCGCAGACUCAUCGGCAGGGGUGUCUUGCAGCAUGCGGGUCGCCUACGCGAGACAAGAGAAGAAGAGAGUACAGCGACAGAGCGACCGUGAAGAACGAACAGCGACGGCACAGAAUGGAGCCGAGACGAAGGACGCGAGAAAGGAACGGAGAUGAGCACGGGAAGAGAGACGACCGAAGGGAAAGAGAAGAAGUGAAGGAGAGAAGGAGUGAUGGAGAGAAAGAGAGACGAGAGAGAGGGAAACAAAGCAAGGGAGGAGCAAGGAGGAAGGAGGGAGAAAAAAAGAGAGGAGAGAGAAGACGAACGAGGCAGUAGGCAGUCGGAAGAGCUGACGCGAGGGAGCGGUGGGCUCUCAGCAUCGACUCCUGCUUCGCGUUUGCUCUUGUUUGUGAGUUUUGUCGUUAGAGCCGCGGUGCUGAGGAACCGACCUUUCGCGACUGCGUUUCCUAGAGUGGAUUCUAAAGAGGAGGGAAGGAUACUUGGAAUUCUCCUCUGGUGAUUCCUGUCGAAAAUUGGUCCUACGCACUCUGUCGACAGAUUUUUGGUUGCGCCAACAUUUAGA
rnacentral:lncRNA from 1 species